GACCUCGGAUCAGGUAGGAAUACCCGCUGAACUUAAGCAUAUCAAUAAGCGGAGGAAAAGAAACCAACAGGGAUUGCCCUAGUAACGGCGAGUGAAGCGGCAACAGCUCAAAUUUGAAAUCUGGCCCUUGGGUCCGAGUUGUAAUUUGUAGAGGAUGUUUUUGGUGCGGUAUCUUCCGAGUUCCUUGGAACAGGACGCCUUAGAGGGUGAGAGCCCCGUACGGUUGAAUGCCUAGCCUUUGUAAAACUCCUUCGACGAGUCGAGUAGUUUGGGAAUGCUGCUCUAAAUGGGAGGUAAAUUUCUUCUAAAGCUAAAUACUGGCCAGAGACCGAUAGCGCACAAGUAGAGUGAUCGAAAGAUGAAAAGCACUUUGAAAAGAGGGUUAAAUAGCACGUGAAAUUGUUGAAAGGGAAGGAUUUAUGACCAGACUUUUUCUGGGCGGAUCAUCCGGUGUUCUCACCGGUGCACUUCGCUCAGUUUAGGCCAGCAUCGAUUUUCGGUGGGGGGAUAAAAGCUUUAGGAAUGUGGCUCCUCCGGGAGUGUUAUAGCCUAUUGUAUAAUACCCUACU
rnacentral:rRNA from 1 species